rnacentral:rRNA from 1 species
GAUGAACGCUGGCGGCGUGCCUAACACAUGCAAGUCGAACGGAAAGGCUCCUGCCUUCCGGGGCACUCGAGUGGCGCACGGGUGAGUAACACGUGGGUGUUCCGUCCCUCACUUCGGGAUAAGCCUGGGAAACUGGGGCUAAUAUCGGAUAGGACCUCAUGAUGGACGGUGUGGUGUAAAGUAAUUCGGUUUUGGUUGAGCUUGCGGCGUAUCAGCUUGUUGGUUGGGUAAUGGCCUACCAAGGCGACGACGGGUAGCCGGCCUGAGAGGGUGUACGGCCACACUGGAACUGAGACACGGUCCAGAGGCCUACGGGAGGCAGCAGGAGGGAAGCGUGCGCAAGGGGCGAAAGCCUGACGGAGCAACGCCGCGUGAGUGAUGAAGGUCUUCGGAGCGGAAAACUCUGUUAUUAGGGAAGAACAAAUGUGUAAGUAACUAUGAACGUCUUGACGGUACCUAAUGAGAAAGCCACGGCUAACUACGUG